AUGGAAGAGGAACCGUCCGCCAAGCGUCACCAUGGCGAGACGUCGAACAAGAGCAGCAACCUCGUCGACAUUCACGUCCCCGGCGAGAAGCGCGAGUACACCAAAACUCUCAAAGGGGUUGAGCUCCACGGCAAGGAGACGCUGGAGAUCGUCUACACCAGCAUACCAGACAAGGCCAACAAGGUGAUGAGCAAGCUCAGGAUGAAGGGCGGUGGCUUGUAUCCGAGCUUCAUUGGAGUUGAUGUGGAGUACACCAACCAAGAAGAACCUCCACAGAUGGCGGCAGUCCUGCAGUUGUGCGUUGAGGAACUCUGCUUGGUAUACCACAUUGUAGCAGCCACAAAAUGGCCCAAGCGCCUCAAAGACUUCCUGCAGGAAGAGAAAUUGUACACAUUUGUCAGUUUCAGCAUUGGAGGUGACAAG
rnacentral:rRNA from 1 species